rnacentral:rRNA from 1 species
GAUUAAGCCAUGCAUGUGUAAGUAUAAAUAAUUUUACUUUGAAACUGCGAAUGGCUCAUUAUAUCAGUUAUAGUUUAUUAGAAAUAUUUUACUACUUGGAUAACCGUAGUAAUUCUAGGGCUAAUACAUGAAUAAAACCUCAACUUCGGAAGAGGUGUGUUUAUUAGUAUGAAAACCAUAUAUCUUCGGAUAUAAUAGUGAGUAAUAAUAACCUUUCGUAUCGUAUGUCGUAAGAUAACGAUAGUUCUUUCAAGUUUCUGCCCUAUCAGCUUUCGAUGGUAGUAUAUGGGACUACCAUG